UACAGAGGUCUCAAGCGUUGUUCGGAUUCAUUGGGCGUAAAGGGUGCGUAGGCGGCGCGGUAAGUCGGGUGUGAAAUCUCGGGGCUUAACUCCGAAACUGCAUUCGAUACUGCCGUGCUUGAGGACUGGAGAGGAGACUGGAAUUUACGGUGUAGCGGUGAAAUGCGUAGAUAUCAGGAGGAACACCGGUGGCGAAGGCGGUUCUCUGGGCAUUACCUGACGCUGAGGAGCGAAAGUGUGGGGAGCGAACAGG
rnacentral:rRNA from 1 species